UUUAAGGUCCCUUCCAACCCCCCCCAUUCCAUGGCUCCAGUUAAAUAAGCUGAUCCUGGGCUGGCUGCAUAUAGAUCCUGUAGGUGUUAUAUAGGCUCAGCAGGCCACGUCAGCUUGUGGGCUGUAUAAAUUGACUUUGCAUUACAGAAGCCACAUUGGGCUCUCAAAAUUGUCCAGAGAAAAGUAUAUACCUACAUAAAUAGAAAAAUAGUAAUUCUGGAAGUAACACCUAAAGCACUGAUUUCCUGGAAGGUUUUUCUUCCUCAAUAUUGAUCUUUUUGUGUACUUGAAACACAGUUCUUAAGGGUGGAUAAAGAAAUCUUGAUUUGCACUGAAGCCAAGAGAUGGUCCAAAAUUACUGAAAUGUGUCACCCCAAAUGGAUGAAUUUCUAAUCUGCUUCAUAUAAUCAGAGAAAUGAACCCUCUAACAUUGGGAAUAUCUAGGAAAAGGAGCUAACUUUAGCUAUCCUGAUUUUGCUACGUGUGCUUCAGGCUUAAAAAAAACCACCCCCCAAUUAAUUGUGUGAACUGCAGAGUAAAUACCAUCGACAGAAAAGGAGGAUAGCACUAAUGCUAAACUCUAUAAUAAAUGAGGCUACAAAUCAGUUUAUUGGUGCCAAAUGUUUCCAGAGAGGUUCGUUUGGCCAAUGGCCCCAUGCAGCUCUUAUUCUGCAUUACAAAUAGGGAUUUCCCAAUCCAUGUGCUCAGUUUCCUUUUUCCCUUUUUAAUAAAAGGCUGGGAAAUGCUGCCACAGCAACCUCUGGCACAAUUCAGUGCAAGGGGGUGUUGAUGUGAGCUUAGAAAUUGUUCCCUUGUGGUAUCUAACAACUUAAAUCACCCUUUCAAAUAACCUAUUACACAACCCCUUUGCAGCAAGAUCUUGCCAUCUCGUUCUGGGUUGUGGCAGCAUUUAGCUGUCAGCUCCCUGAAGAUUAAGCUGUUUUGAAGUUGGUGUUGGAUUAUGGAGAGAUUUCCCAUAAUUGGGAAUUUCCCUUUGUCGUUCCACAUGGCAGAUUGUGUGUUUAUUUAGAGAGAAAUGUUAUUUACUACUUGCAGAGCAAAAUACAUCCCCUAGCCCCUUCUCACCCCUCUCCCUCCUCAGUCCUUUUGUAUUUGAUGUAACAGCAAAUUAGUGGUUAGAUAUUUUUGAUCUGGUUGUGUUGGGGGCGGGGGGAAUAAUGGGAUAAGAUGCGGUUGGAUACUCAAACAUUCCACUUUCCUGUGCUAACAGGCGAAAAGCAAAACAACCUGAACAGGCUGAAGGCAGAACUGUGUGUUUUGUCAGUUGCUUUCAUGAGCUUUCCUUUCCCCCAUGACCUGGUGUGUCUCUCUUCUGGCUUCCUGCUUUUUGCCAGUGCAGAGUCUCUUUAAAGGGUGUUAAAAUGCUGUUUGCACACCCCUGAAGCUGAGUGAUCUCUGUGGAUGAUGGGACUGGUGAAGCGUGCGUACGUACAGCUCUGAACUGCAGCUGAGAGCAGCCUUGUCAGAAGGACCCCAGAACACUCCAGCUGCUUGUGGUGCCUGGGACUCUGAGCAGGCCAAGAGGAGUUCCUGGAGGAAGGAGUCUGCUGUGUCUCCUUGUGGAUGUGGAGUCUCUUCCGUGCUCUUGACUGCCGCUUCCAUGAGCACUUAGCUGUGCUCUUUUCCUCACUGUUUCCUAAUGAGAUAUAUUUUCUUAAAUCUCAGUUUGUGCUGUACAAAGCUCUGAUGGCAUCUGGUCUGGAGGCCUGGCAUGAGUUUUCUGGCAAACGAUUCUGGACUUGCUUUAAUCCAGGCUCUGGCAAGCUCUUGUUAGUCCAUUCUUUGCCUGCUGCCACUUGCUUUUAUUAACAUGCAUGCCCUGUUCCCAGACAGAAUUUGGGAUGCUCCCUUUACCAGGCUGUACCUGUGCUCAGAAGCUUUCUGUGCAGUGUGGCCUUUCUCUUGUAAUCAACUUCAAAGGGUUUAACAGGGAACAUAAUCUGCCUGCAGAAGACUUGGCUUGUGAUACUCUUCUGCAUUACUGACAUGGCCUUGGGAAGUUCUGCAGGCAUCUGUCUGCUGCUGGAACCCUGCAGUCACCAGGGAGGGUGGAAUAAUUGAAUGGACUGUAGUGACAUAUGGAAUACCAGACAAGGAAUUCUUCUGGCUUGCCUUGUACUGCCCUCUUAAGUCAGGGGCUGCAGUGCCGUUUUGUAGGUGGAUUUCUCUCUAUCUCUCUACUCAGAUUUUGGUUAUUUUUCCCUCCAUGAUAUUUUCUUGCCUUUGCUGCUUCCAACUUUUGGCCUCGCUGGUUCCAUCUUGUAUGCAAAGCAAUUUAGCAGCUGCUAGACUUGUUAAUGCCUCUCCUUUGACUUUCCUCUGCCACAUUUCUGUAUGGAGCUUUGUUUCCCAUUAAUUAUUUCUGCUGGGUAAGUGCAGUCUAAACCCCAUCACUGGUGGAGUUUUAGUGGAAACAAAAAGGAGAGUGUUAAUAAAUCA